GUGCCAGCCGCCGCGGUAAUACCGGCAGCACGAGUGAUGGCCGAUCUUAUUGGGCCUAAAGCGUCCGUAGCCGGCCGGACAAGUCCGUUGGGAAAUCCACUCGCCCAACGAGUGGGCGUCCGACGGAAACUGCACAGCUUGGGACCGGAAGGCUCGAAGGGUACGUUCGGGGUAGGAGUGAAAUCCUGUAAUCCUGGACGGACCACCAAUGGGGAAACCACGUUGAGAGAUCGGACCCGACGGUGAGGGACGAAAGCUAGGGUCUCGAACCGGAUUAGAAACCCUAGUAGUCC
rnacentral:rRNA from 1 species